UGGGGAAUAUUGGACAAUGGGCGAAAGCCUGAUCCAGCCAUGCCGCGUGAGUGAAGAAGGCCUUAGGGUUGUAAAGCUCUUUUGGCGGGGACGAUAAUGACGGUACCCGCAGAAUAAGCUCCGGCUAACUUCGUGCCAGCAGCCGCGGUAAUACGAAGGGAGCUAGCGUUGUUCGGAAUCACUGGGCGUAAAGCGCACGUAGGCGGAUUGUUAAGUCAGGGGUGAAAUCCCGGGGCUCAACCUCGGAACUGCCUUUGAUACUGGCAAUCUCGAGUCCGGAAGAGGUGAGUGGAAUUCCUAGUGUAGAGGUGAAAUUCGUAGAUAUUAGGAAGAACACCAGUGGCGAAGGCGGCUCACUGGUCCGGUACUGACGCUGAGGUGCGAAAGCGUGGGGAGCAAACA
rnacentral:rRNA from 1 species